GAAGGAAAUCCUUCCGGUCAAUGAGAAGCAACAACCUCAUCAACCGGAAGGAACCCCUUCCGGUUGAUGAGGUAUAACAACCUCAUCAACUGCAAGGGAUUAAUUCCAGUUGAUGAGGCUGUUACACCUCAUCGAUCGGAAGGAAUUCCUUC
rnacentral:miRNA from 1 species